UUUACUCAAAAGUUAUAAUACCCCUCAUACUGCAGUAUCCUUGUAGCACACCUCAGCACCUUUACUCUCAACUGCCUUGAAGUAAAACCAUGUUGAAAUAAUUUUUGGCAUCAAUGGCUUAAACUUAUUAUCACGCAUUACAGGGCAAAGCCGUCUUUGCUAGUGGAUCACCAUUGACCCUGUCCACAUACAAAGGUCAAAAGUUUGUCCCAGGACAAGGAAACAACUCGUACAUUUUCCCUGGUGUAGCGCUUGGGUACAAUUUGCGCUGGACUCAGACUAUUUCUGAUGAAAUCUUCCUCAUCGCUGCUCAGUGUCUUGCUGCUUUAGUAACAGAUCAAUGACCUUGAGAUUGGAGGCCUAUACCCUCCGCUAGAGACCAUUCAAUCGUGUCACUGAAAAUUGCUGUAAGGAUCGCUGAGUUGCUUAUGAGAAAGGCUGGGCCUCAACGUAUCCUCAACCUUCGGACUUAGAAAGUUUCAUCAAAGCUCAACUUUAUGAUUACCAUUAUUCGUCUGCUGUUCCUAAAACCUAUGACUGGCCAAAGCUUUAAAGUCAAGGUUUUACAAGGAAUUGCUGCCACAUACCCAGAGCCUGAAGAUAAGGAAGAAUUCGUUAAAUCGAAACUGUAUGAUUAUUCCUACAGUUCCUCUGUACUGCCAGUAAAGUACAGUUGGCCACAGAACGCUAUCAACUGACUAUGCAAGCUGUAGUGAAACUAAUGUCCUCUCAAAAUCGUGUUCAACUCGUUUCCUCUUUGUUGUACAUAAUCUAAGAUUCCAAUGGCAUGUUGAAGGGUUGCAUUUAGGUACCUAAUUGUGUGUCCGAAGCCUUUUAAUGCAUCGGUUUUUACAUUUCCAUAAUCUUUUGUAUUUUAAAAAUGAUGCUUCUUUCAAUUAAAUAUAAGUUAUUCCACCACACUCUUCUUAAUAUCUAUUAAUUAAUAUAAAAAAAAAUACCGUAAAUCUUUUUCUCCCAAUGUUUUUGAGUAUUCCAGUCAGAUCUUAAACUGGGCUGAAUGGUUAGCUGUUUCGUUUUACUUUCCCUGUAAAAGGAUAUUGUCCUUUGAUAUGUUUUGAGCCUCGAACAAAUUCAGUUCAGUAGGAUUAUUUAUCAUUUCAUUUAUUUAUUAAUUUACCUACUCAUUCAUUACAUAAUCUAACUCCCGGAGUUUCUUCAUGGGCCAGCCUAGAGGGCUCCUACAAUUUUUAUUUAAAUUUUUUUGAAAUCGACAUAUAUUUUAACCUUUCAAGAGCUGAAGCCAGUAAAGAUAAGGCUUACAAUAGAUUCAUUGAAAAGUUAAGAUGAAGUAUAUUUUUCCAAGCUUAACGUUUCAGAUUUUUACAUGUGAUUUUUUGAAUGGCUGUGUCAGUUUCAGGAACGCUAAACUUGACUCAUUUUGUUGUUCUUUUUAAAGUAAAUAUCAGCAUUAAAGAAAAAUGGAGCUCCUUGUAUCUAUGUUGGUUUUGUCCCUUAAAUACUAAUAAGUGUUUCAUUUUAACCUUUUUUGCUUCAAUUGUUUUUCCUUUCAUUUUUAAUUCAUUGUAAUCAUCUUAUUUUUUUUAACUGUUUUUGGAAAGUUUUGUUUUUGUUAUUCAAUUAUUCUGUUAUCUUUUUUAUGUAUCUACCGUAAUAAAAUUACUUCAUGCUCUAAAUUGGAUUUUCAUUUUUUGAAUAUAAUUUUUUUUGGUGAGUUUUCAUCUUUUUUUACUGAAUUGUAGACAUUCAAGAUAUACUCAGUUGUCCUUUUCUGGACAGAAUAUAUCUGAAUAUAUGGCUGAUUAUUUAAAGUUUAAAGCAGCCCAAUAAGACAUCGAAUUGCGAUAUAUUUCAUGGUUGAGAUAGGGCUAUGUCUUCUCUUGUCAGGAUGACAUAGUUUCAAUAAUCGGACCGCAGCACUGUGUUACCAAACUUCUCAAAUUUUUGCAAUUUUUAUUUUUUUUUACAAAAAAAAUGAAGAAUAGAAUCACUUCCAAAUUUUACCAGAUAUUCCCUUCGUCAUUCAGAUUAAUCCAUAAUAUGUUUGUGAAAGUGUUAAAUUUUAAAGUCUGUCAAUAUAGUAUCUAAACUCGAAUGGAGCUUGUGAUAUUCUUCCUGAAGAAAGAUGACCUGUCAAACGUGAAAUUAAAUGUCAAACUUCGCCCUAACAACGAGUCUUCUGAAGGAGAGGAGGCUCAUGUAAAUAUUUAAAACAAGUAAUUGAUUACAAAAGGUCAUUUAAUUUUUUGUUUUUGUUUUGAUCAAUAGGGACUUGGCUAUUUACAAUACUUGCCCAACAUAUAAGGUGUUUCUCAAUGAAAACAAAAAAUACAACACACCUCUGUCUGACCACUAAAACUAGAGAGGAAGAACAGUUCCCACUUAAAAAUAUUUACAUGUGUACAUUAUUUACAACGAUGGCAAUGAACUAUAAACAAUGAUGUCUUUUUCGAUAAACUUAUAAUUAAAAUAACAGAAAAAUUUACAAAUAACAAUGUCAACAUGAGGAACUCAAAUUACGAAAUUGAAAG
rnacentral:lncRNA from 1 species